rnacentral:rRNA from 1 species
CUGGGCUACACACGUGCUACAAUGGACGGUACAAAGAGCUGCAAGACCCCGAGGUGGAGCUAAACUCAUAAAACCGUUCUCAGUUCGGAUUGUAGGCUGCAACUCGCCUACAUGAAGCUGGAAUCUCAAGUAAUCGCGGAUCAGCAUGCCGCGGUGAAUACGUUCCCGGGCCUAGGACACACCGCCCGUCACACCACGAGAGUUUGAAACAAACCAACAAGGAGGGGUAAC